UACAAAUCAAAUAUGUACCUAGGCUACUGCCCGACGCCUCCAUUCUCUCUCUCUCUCUCAUUAUCUCUGAGAAUCCAGCCGGUCCUCCUCCCGUCCCCUCCCCCACAGCCGGCGGCCCUCCCGAUCUGGAGGCCUCCGGCCAGAUUAGCUCCUCCAUACCAUGGCGUGCCUCGCGGUGUCCCGGCUCGCUCGCCGUCACCCAGCUCGCUGCGGAUCUGGGAAGUCCGCACUCACCAAGCCUCCCGACGUCUCCUGGCACCAGAUCCGGCGACGAACAGGCUGUCUUGUGCCUCCUCCUCAAGCUCGCGAGCUGGGAUUGCCUCUUCUUGCUUGCCAAUGGAUUUGUAGUUCAAGAUUUGUACAAGAACUUUUUGGAUGUCCGGAUCGUCCUUUGCUGAAAAUUGAUGAAGGACUUUAUCUUUUUACAAAGAACUCUGUUUCUACAAAGCGGUCUCUUUGUAUAAAUUGCUGAAGAACUUUAUUGUUGUAUGUAAAAGAGAAUGCUUUUUCUUGCCAUAUUGAUAUUAAUAGAACUUUAUGUUUAACUAGCUGGUAGUUUGUAUGAAUCCUUGAAUAACUUUGUGUACAUGUGAAUUUGAAGGUUAUGAAAAUAGUACAAAACUUUAUGAAGGC
rnacentral:rRNA from 1 species